UACAGGGGGGGCAAGCGUUGUUCGGAAUUACUGGGCGUAAAGCGUGCGCAGGCGGUUUUGUAAGUCUGACGUGAAAUCCCCGGGCUCAACCUGGGAAUUGCGUUGGAGACUGCAAGGCUGGAGUUUGGCAGAGGGGGGUAGAAUUCCACGUGUAGCAGUGAAAUGCGUAGAGAUGUGGAGGAAUACCGAUGGCGAAGGCAGCCCCCUGGGAUAACACUGACGCUCAUGCACGAAAGCGUGGGGAGCAAACAGG
rnacentral:rRNA from 1 species